CCCCUAGAUGUUCUGGGCCGCACGCGCGCUACACUGAACAGUUCAACAAGUCUUAACCUUGGCCGAUAGGUCUGGGUAAUCUUUGAACGCUGUUCGUGAUUGGGAUAGACCUUUGCAAUUAUGGGUCUUCAACGAGGAAUUCCUAGUAAACGCAAGUCAUCAGCUUGCAUUGAUUACGUCCCUGCCCUUUGUACACACCGCCCGUCGCACCUACCGAUUGAAUGGUCCGGUGAAAUCUCGGGACGGCGGCUUGGUCGCUUGCGUCCGACUGCUGAAACUUGAUUAAACCAUAUCAUUUAGAGGAAGGUGAANUCGUANC
rnacentral:rRNA from 1 species